rnacentral:rRNA from 1 species
ACACUCCUACGGGAGGCAGCAGUGGGGAAUAUUGCACAAUGGGCGCAAGCCUGAUGCAGCCAUGCCGCGUGUAUGAAGAAGGCCUUCGGGUUGUAAAGUACUUUCAGCGGGGAGGAAGGCGAUAAGGUUAAUAACCUUGUUGAUUGACGUUACCCGCAGAAGAAGCACCGGCUAACUCCGUGCCAGCAGCCGCGGUAAUACGGAGGGUGCAAGCGUUAAUCGGAAUUACUGGGCGUAAAGCGCACGCAGGCGGUCUGUCAAGUCGGAUGUGAAAUCCCCGGGCUCAACCUGGGAACUGCAUUCGAAACUGGCAGGCUAGAGACUUGUAGAGGGGGGUAGAAUUCCAGGUGUAGCGGUGAAAUGCGUAGAGAUCUGGAGGAAUACCGGUGGCGAAGGCGGCCCCCUGGACAAAGACUGACGCUCAGGUGCGAAAGCGUGGGGAGCAAACAGGAUUAGAUACCCCAGUAGUCCCAUGA